rnacentral:rRNA from 1 species
GAUGAACGCUGGCGGCGUGCCUAAUACAUGCAAGUCGAGCGAACGGACGAGAAGCUUGCUUCUCUGAUGUUAGCGGCGGACGGGUGAGUAACACGUGGAUAACCUACCUAUAAGACUGGGAUAACUUCGGGAAACCGGAGCUAAUACCGGAUGAUAUUUUGAACCGCAUGGUUCAAAAGUGAAAGACGGUCGUGCUGUCACUUAUAGAUGGAUCCGCGCUGCAUUAGCUAGUUGGUAAGGUAACGGCUUACCAAGGCAACGAUGCAUAGCCGACCUGAGAGGGUGAUCGGCCACACUGGAACUGAGACACGGUCCAGACUCCUACGGGAGGCAGCAGUAGGGAAUCUUCCGCAAUGGGCGAAAGCCUGACGGAGCAACGCCGCGUGAGUGAUGAAGGUCUUCGGAUCGUAAAACUCUGUUAUUAGGGAAGAACAUAUGUGUAAGUAACUGUGCACAUCUUGACGGUACCUAAUCAGAAAGCCACGGCUAACUACGUG